UGGGGAAAACCCUCCACUCCAGAAGUGACAUCACGCUCCAAGUGAAGGUGAUCCCCUCAUCAAACUGCCAAUAGACUCAACAUAGCCAAAGCAGUGGUGCCCUUGAAUGGUCUUUUUAUUUUGCACUCCUUCUCACGUGUGUGUCUGUGGGAGAGACGCACCUGCAUGUCAUCAUCUCAUCAACUCCUGCUGGUUCAACAUGAUCUCUUCACUACUUAUGUGACAGAUUGUUCCAUCCCGUAUGGUGACUAUAAAUGUUCAGCACGGCAGCUGUUAAAGGGGGAGGGCGAAUAUAAGGGUUCUCAGUUCGACACCCCUGGUUUUAAGACUUCCUGCUAUCUGCGUGCAGCAUGGAGAUAAUCAUUAUGCGUGGCAGUAGCAGCUACCUUUAAAAUGGACUUUCGUCCAAUAGAAGGACUCUCACAGCCAAAGAGACGGACGUGUGUUUUGGACAGUGAAGGCAUCAGCUAUGUACUAGUAAAAGCCAAAUAACGGUGCCAUUGCUCUCAUCCAAAAGACCUGUGGUGGCAACAAUCCUGCUGGCAUUAGCCAAAGGGAAAUUCUUGGUUUUGGCUUGACUCUGACUCCGUACCAGCUGGGCGGGUUUGUGUGCUCCGGGACGUGUACAGGCCUCUCCUCCUGGCAGCGUGCUCGGACACGUGCCGUCGUUGGCUGAGGACGCGCACACGUGAACUACCAUGCUGAACAGGAGCUGGAAGGAAGAAACCAUCGCCGGCUAACUGGCGGGGGAUCAAUUGUGAACAAAGUCCUGUGAAAUAGUAGAAUAGAAACGACUUACACAUGUUCACUGUCACUGAACUGAGUAUUUACCACAGUAUAUUAGAGAAUAUGUAAAAGCCCAUUUAUUUCACGUCUAAAUUAACAGGCAGCUGUGUGUGACGUCAAUGCUAUGAUUUGCAUUUGACGACGUUGAAAUAAAGGCAUUUCUGUAAGUCUAAAAA